AACGAACGCUGGCGGCAUGCUUUACACAUGCAAGUCGAACGGCAGCACGGACUUCGGUCUGGUGGCGAGUGGCGAACGGGUGAGUAACAUAUCGGAACGUAUCCAAUAAUGGGGGAUAACUAAUCGAAAGGUUGGCUAAUACCGCAUACGCCCUACGGGGGAAAGCUAGGGACCUUCGGGCCUGGCGUUAAUGGAGCGGCCGAUAUCUGAUUAGCUAGUUGGUGGGGUAAAGGCCCACCAAGGCGACGAUCAGUAGCUGGUCUGAGAGGACGACAAGCCACACUGGAACUGAGACACGGUCAAGACUCCUACGGGAGGCAGCAGUGGGGAAUGUUGGACAAUGGGCGCAAGCCUGAUCCAGCCAUUCCGCGUGAGUGAAGAAGGCCUUCGGGUUGUAAAGCUCUUUCGCAAGGGAAGAAAACUUAGCCUCUAACAUAGGCUGAGGUUGACGGUACCUUGAUAAGAAGCACCGGCUAACUACGUGCCAGCCGCCGCGGUAA
rnacentral:rRNA from 1 species